rnacentral:rRNA from 1 species
AGAUUGAACGCUGGCGGCAGGCCUAACACAUGCAAGUCGAGCGGUAGAGAGGUGCUUGCACCUCUUGAGAGCGGCGGACGGGUGAGUAAUGCCUAGGAAUCUGCCUAGUGGUGGGGGAUAACGUUCGGAAACGGACGCUAAUACCGCAUACGUCCUACGGGAGAAAGCGGGGGACCUUCGGGCCUCGCGCCAUUAGAUGAGCCUAGGUCGGAUUAGCUAGUUGGUGAGGUAAUGGCUCACCAAGGCGACGAUCCGUAACUGGUCUGAGAGGAUGAUCAGUCACACUGGAACUGAGACACGGU